UGCUGACCUUGUUUCAGCAGCAUGGCUUGGUUUGAGGCAUAAUUAGCUUUUAGACUCUCAUUCGCUGUCCCUCAAUCCUUAGCCUUAGUCUCAGCUCUGUACUGCAUUAAAGCAAAUGUUCCAGGGGAACGAAUGUAUAAUGAAAUCAGAUCAUAAUCUCUUUCACUGUAAAAGGAAUGCAAAUUGCUAAAAGAUUCUAGCUCCAGACUGAGCCUCAGCCUGGAUUCCUCACUCAAGUGAUUGUGGGGGGUUAAGAAAUGAUGGAAGGGCUUUGAGUCCUUGAUUGCGAAAUCAGAGCACAAACAAGAGGCUUCACAAGGCUCGACUACAAAGGCCUAGGAAAGAACCCUACCCCCUCUUCUACCCCCUAAUGGGAACUGUGGAGUGGGGUUGGAAGGAGCAGACUCGUGCCACAGGAAGUCCUGGCACCUCACUUGAGUGCCACUGGGUAUUUUGACUUCCUUUGCAUCUGCAAGCCUCUCGACAGCGGCCUGCUGCAGGUUGGGGGGAGCCAUAGCCGUCACGCUCUGUUACAAAGAGUUUCAUUCAUCAAAGUGGGCUUUUUUUGGUCAGCCAAGAGGGUAAAGAAUUACUCAAAGCAAUUCUUUCAGCAAGUCUCCUUCUACUUCAGAGAGCUUAUGCUGCUGGAGAAGUUCCAGUAAUGUUAUUGAGAUAAACUGCACAACAGCUUUGUCUUCUUCUUUUUUUCUUAAUCUACUAUAAACAGGAGUUGGACCAAA